GACACGUGUAUGGUGGUCCGAGUAACGCGGUGGAAGGGUAUCAGAAUCAGCAGCAUCACGAGUACGGAUACAUGAACCAGGGGUACAUGAAUCAAGGCUAUAUGUCUCACCCUGGCUAUGUGAAUGAAGGGUAUAUGUCUCACCCUGGGUAUGUGAAUCAAGGGUACAUGGUGGACACGCGGCAUCCCCUUCACGCGCCUCAGAUGUUCAGCGAUGAGAAUCCAAACGCCUGCUCGAUCAUGUAAGAAAGGAAAUCAACGGUGGUUAAUAAGGAAUUAAUCAUGAUUAAUAUAGAGAGAAGAAAGAAAAGGACCAAAUGUAAAUAGCAGAACUUUCUAGGGAGAGAAAAGUAAAUAACAGAACUUCGAAAAAAGAAAGGGACCGACGAUGUAAUAGGUAGUAGAAUUUUGGAAUUAUCGCGAUGGUUAGAACUUAGAACCUUUUGGUUUUUGUUUUUAAUAUAUGGAAGAACCGGCCAAAGCCGGCUUGGCUUGAGCGGGUUAGUGUUGGGACGGUGGCGGGUUAUUUUUUUUUUUAAUUUUU
rnacentral:lncRNA from 1 species